UUGUGAAACAAGCUCCAAAGGAGCUUGGCACAUGUUACAAGCUCGCACUUCAUAUAUUUGGGGCAGAAUUCGUCCCAGUACAGCAUCCUCAUUAAUUUGUCUGGGCUGCGAGCAUUCCCACGCUGCUUGUCUCACCUGUGCUGCUGACAGGGGCUGCCGCGGGAUCUGCCUCUACAAGUAUUUUCAGCAUUUUCUCCUCUGUAGGUUUUUAAAAGAAUCCGUGGUGAUGAAUUGCUCAGACAUCCCCGGGAGGCUUUACAAAAGCAUUGGUGGCUUUGGGGCAGUGCUACAGACGGAUGCAGUUGGGAGCAGGGCUCCAGCCAUGGCCAAAUGACAUACGGAUGUCGAUCUCUGUCUCCUUUUCAGCAUGGAAAGGAGAAGCACUCCGAAACCAUCAGCAAGUAAAGGAAGAACUAGAGAAGAAAAGGAAGAAACUGCUUUCUUCAUGCCACUCCCUGGCACAGGGAUACCUGGUAUUGGAGAAGAAGGCAUCUUACUGCUGUGAUUCCCACCUCUUACAUGCGACACGCUGGCCACUGCCACCCCUCGAGGAGGACGAGGCAGAAUCCCCCAAGCUUCAAGGAACAACCUCGAGGUGACCGAUGCAUCUGCAUAACCUGAUGCUGAGAUAACUGCGAGGACGACGUGGGGAGGCUGCUGAGGGAUUUGCUCAGGUGACUGGCAGGACUUGUUUUUAGACUAAACAGACCCCUUUUUAUCACUUGAAACCCCACACCUCCAACAGGAGGAAAUGUAUUUAACCAAGAAACACCACCAUUAAUCACCUCUGGAGCACGAGGCUUUGCUCACACCUUGGCUGAGGGACCUCUUCCCAGAGCCACGUACCCACCUCCCACAAUGCUGGGCACAACCCAGCCCUGCUUGGAGCCAACUCACGCAGUACAUUGCACGGAGAGGGAA